rnacentral:rRNA from 1 species
AACGAACGCUGGCGGCGGGGCUUAGGCAUGCAAGUCGCGCGAGAAAGCCGCAAGGCAAGUACAGCGGCGUAAGGGUGAGUAAUAGGUAGUCAACGUACCCAUUUGACGCGGAUAAUUCUCCGAAAGGGUUGUAAUACGCGAUGAGACCACGGGCCCUUUGGGGUUUGGGCGUAAAGGUCGGGAGUCCUUCGGACCUGGCGCGGAUGGAGCGGACGACCUCCGAUUAGCUAGUUGG